rnacentral:pre_miRNA from 1 species
CAUGCACCAGUGGGGUCCCUCAGCCUGGCCUGUGCCCUCUUGCAAUCUGGGACCCCUUAGGGGAUGUCGAAGAGCCUGUUUUGGCCUGAUCCCACAGGCCAGGCCGAGGGACCCCACUGGUGCACA